CACGAAAGGGGCGAGAGAGCAUUGUUGGCUUGGCAGUUAAUUAUUUGGAAAGUAGGUAUAAAUUUCAAUUUGUUAGGUGAAAUUUUAAAUUGUGCUAAUGCCUAGAAGUAAAUUCAAUGAGGCUGUGAAAGUUAGAGGAGAAACUGGGAUUAGAUACCCCACUAUCCUAACUGUUGAGAAAAGGGCCUGAGUAGUAAUAGUUAAGUUCUUGAAACUCAAAGAAUUUGGCGGUGUUUUAUUCCGCUCAGAGGAGCCUGUUCCGUAAUCGAUAAUCCACGUUUAAUUAACUCAGCCUAGCGUUCAGCUUGUAUACCGCCGUCAAUGAGUACGUCAGGAGACGAUAUUCAGGAUUUUAAAUGAAACAGAAUGUCAGGUCAAGGUGCAGUCAAUGGUUGAGGGGAAAUGGGCUACAAUAGAAGAUUCUAAAUGGAUUUAGGAUUGGAAUAUUCUAAUGAAGGUGGAUUUGGGAGUAAUUAAUUCAAGGUUGAAUUUUUGAUGUUGGCUCUAAAACAU
rnacentral:rRNA from 1 species